rnacentral:rRNA from 1 species
GGUUAAGUUAGAAAGGGCGCACGGUGGAUGCCUUGACACUAGGAGUCGAUGAAGGACGGGACUAACGCCGAUAUGCUUCGGGGAGCUGUAAGUAAGCUUUGAUCCGAAGAUUUCCGAAUGGGGAAACCCACCAUACGUAAUGGUAUGGUAUCCUUAUCUGAAUACAUAGGGUAAGGAAGACAGACCCAGGGAACUGAAACAUCUAAGUACCUGGAGGAAGAGAAAGCAAAUGCGAUUUCCUGAGUAGCGGCGAGCGAAACGGAACAUAGCCCAAACCAAGAGGCUUGCCUCUUGGGGUUGUAGGACAUUCUAUACGGAGUUACAAAGGAACGAGGUAGACGAAGCGACCUGGAAAGGUCCGUCGUAGAGGGUAACAACCCCGUAGUCGAAACUUCGUUCUCUCUUGAAUGUAUCCUGAGUACGGCGGAACACGUGAAAUUCCGUCGGAAUCUGGGAGGACCAUCUCCCAAGGCUAAAUACUCCCUAGUGAUCGAUAGUGAACCAGUACCGUGAGGGAAAGGUGAAAAGCACCCCGGAAGGGGAGUGAAAGAGAUCCUGAAACCGUGUGCCUACAAAUAGUCAGAGCCCGUUAACGGGUGAUGGCGUGCCUUUUGUAGAAUGAACCGGCGAGUUACGAUCCCGUGCGAGGUUAAGCUGAAGAGGCGGAGCCGCAGCGAAAGCGAGUCUGAAUAGGGCGUUUAGUACGUGGUCGUAGACCCGAAACCAGGUGAUCUACCCAUGUCCAGGGUGAAGUUCAGGUAACACUGAAUGGAGGCCCGAACCCACGCACGUUGAAAAGUGCGGGGAUGAGGUGUGGGUAGCGGAGAAAUUCCAAUCGAACCUGGAGAUAGCUGGUUCUCCCCGAAAUAGCUUUAGGGCUAGCCUUAAGUGUAAGAGUCUUGGAGGUAGAGCACUGAUUGGACUAGGGGUCCUCAUCGGAUUACCGAAUUCAGUCAAACUCCGAAUGCCAAUGACUUAUCCUUAGGAGUCAGACUGCGAGUGAUAAGAUCCGUAGUCAAAAGGGAAACAGCCCAGACCGCCAGCUAAGGUCCCAAAGUGUGUAUUAAGUGGAAAAGGAUGUGGAGUUGCUUAGACAACUAGGAUGUUGGCUUAGAAGCAGCCACCAUUUAAAGAGUGCGUAAUAGCUCACUAGUCGAGUGACUCUGCGCCGAAAAUGUACCGGGGCUAAAUACACCACCGAAGCUGCGGAUUGAUACCGAAUGGUAUCAGUGGUAGGGGAGCGUUCUAAGGACAGUGAAGUCAGACCGGAAGGACUGGUGGAGUGCUUAGAAGUGAGAAUGCCGGUAUGAGUAGCGAAAGACGGGUGAGAAUCCCGUCCACCGAAUGCCUAAGGUUUCCUGAGGAAGGCUCGUCCGCUCAGGGUUAGUCAGGACCUAAGCCGAGGCCGACAGGCGUAGGCGAUGGACAACAGGUUGAUAUUCCUGUACCACCUCUUUAUCGUUUGAGCAAUGGAGGGACGCAGAAGGAUAGAAGAAGCGUGCGAUUGGUUGUGCACGUCCAAGCAGUUAGGCUGAUAAGUAGGCAAAUCCGCUUAUCGUGAAGGCUGAGCUGUGAUGGGGAAGCUCCUUAUUGAGCGAAGUCUUUGAUUCCCCGCUGCCAAGAAAAGCUUCUAGCGAGAUAAAAGGUGCCUGUACCGCAAACCGACACAGGUAGGCGAGGAGAGAAUCCUAAGGUGUGCGAGAGAACUCUGGUUAAGGAACUCGGCAAAAUGACCCCGUAACUUCGGGAGAAGGGGUGCUUUCUUAACGGAAAGCCGCAGUGAAUAGGCCCAAGCGACUGUUUAGCAAAAACACAGCUCUCUGCGAAGCCGUAAGGCGAAGUAUAGGGGUGACACCUGCCCGGUGCUGGAAGGUUAAGGAGAGGGGUUAGCGUAAGCGAAGCUCUGAACUGAAGCCCCAGUAAACGGCGGCCGUAACUAUAACGGUCCUAAGGUAGCGAAAUUCCUUGUCGGGUAAGUUCCGACCCGCACGAAAGGUGUAACGAUUUGGGCACUGUCUCAACCAGAGACUCGGUGAAAUUAUAGUACCUGUGAAGAUGCAGGUUACCCGCGACAGGACGGAAAGACCCCGUGGAGCUUUACUGUAGCCUGAUAUUGAAUUUUGGUACAGUUUGUACAGGAUAGGCGGGAGCCUUUGAAACCGGAGCGCUAGCUUCGGUGGAGGCGCUGGUGGGAUACCGCCCUGACUGUAUUGAAAUUCUAACCUACGGGUCUUAUCGACCCGGGAGACAGUGUCAGGUGGGCAGUUUGACUGGGGCGGUCGCCUCCUAAAGUGUAACGGAGGCGCCCAAAGGUUCCCUCAGAAUGGUUGGAAAUCAUUCGUAGAGUGCAAAGGCAUAAGGGAGCUUGACUGCGAGACCUACAAGUCGAGCAGGGACGAAAGUCGGGCUUAGUGAUCCGGUGGUUCCGCAUGGAAGGGCCAUCGCUCAACGGAUAAAAGCUACCCCGGGGAUAACAGGCUUAUCUCCCCCAAGAGUCCACAUCGACGGGGAGGUUUGGCACCUCGAUGUCGGCUCAUCGCAUCCUGGGGCUGUAGUCGGUCCCAAGGGUUGGGCUGUUCGCCCAUUAAAGCGGUACGCGAGCUGGGUUCAGAACGUCGUGAGACAGUUCGGUCCCUAUCCGUCGUGGGCGUAGGAAAUUUGAGAGGAGCUGUCCUUAGUACGAGAGGACCGGGAUGGACGCACCGCUGGUGUACCAGUUGUUCUGCCAAGGGCAUAGCUGGGUAGCUAUGUGCGGAAGGGAUAAGUGCUGAAAGCAUCUAAGCAUGAAGCCCCCCUCAAGAUGAGAUUUCCCAUAGCGUAAGCUAGUAAGAUCCCUGAAAGAUGAUCAGGUUGAUAGGUUCGAGGUGGAAGCAUGGUGACAUGUGGAGCUGACGAAUACUAAUAGAUCGAGGACUUAACCAU